rnacentral:sRNA from 1 species
UAACAGAAGAGCAAGUCUCGUUGUGCAG